rnacentral:rRNA from 1 species
UACAGAGGGUGCUAGCGUUGUUCGGAAUCAUUGGGCGUAAAGGGCGUGUAGGCGGUUUGUUAAGUCAUGUGUGAAAUCCCUCGGCUCAACCGGGGAACGACGCAUGAAACUGGCAAGCUAGAGUACCAAAGAGGGGGGUGGAAUUCCCGGUGUAGCGGUGAAAUGCGUAGAUAUUGGGAGGAACACCAGUGGCGAAGGCGGCUCACUGGACCGGAACUGACGCUGAGGCGCGAAAGCGUGGGGAGCAAACGGG